AGAGAGAGACAUGCGCGCAUAUCAAUAAGCGGAGGAAAAGAAACUAACAAGGAUUCCCUUAGUAACGGCGAGUGAAGCGGGAAGAGCUCAAAUUUGAAAUCUUCAAGGUUCUACCUUGACGAAUUGUAGUUUAUAGAAGUGUUUUCUGUUAGUGGAGUGGCAAAAGUUCUUUGGAAUAGGACAUCAUAGAGGGUGAGAAUCCCGUAUUUGGUCAUUCCUCCUAGCGUUGUGAUACACUUUCAACGAGUCGGAUUGUUUGGGAAUGCAGUCCGAAAUGGGUGGUAAAUUUCAUCUAAAGCUAAAUAUUGGCGAGAGACCGAUAGCGAACAAGUACCGUGAGGGAAAGAUGAAAAGAACUUUGAAAAGAGAGUUAAACAGUACGUGAAAUUGUCAAAAGGGAAGCGUUUGACACCAGUGUUGUUUUUCCGAGAAUCAAUUACGAAUGUUUUGUUUUUGAGGAGUUAUGACUUCAUCGGCUUGCUCCUUUCUUUACGAAACUUUCUUAAUGCACUUUUCGGUUAACAAGUCAACAUCAAUUUCUUUUGUUGUAAAAGGGUAUGAGGAAGGUGGCUUUCUUUUCGGAGAAAGUGUUUAUAGCCUUGUAGCCUCUGCAAUCGGAGAGAUUGAGGUCUGCAGCGUAGAUCCUUCGGGGUUAGAUACAUUUGUGCUAAGUUAUAGCUUUUCAUAGACAACUUGUUGACUAUGUUUAGUCUUGUAGCUUACUCGCUUAUGCUAUUUUACCUACGCUUAGGAUGUUGAUCUGUAGUGCGUGCGC
rnacentral:rRNA from 1 species